AUACCGGGCCUUUUUGGGCUUGGUAAUUGGAAUGAGGGAGAGUUAAACGGACCAUCGAGUAUCCAUGGGAGGGCAAGUCUGGUGCCAGCAGCUGCGGUAAUGCCAGCUCCAAUAGCGUAUAUUAAAGUUGUUGCAGUUAAAAAGCUCGUAGUUGGACUUGUGUGCGCUGUCCGCGGGUGGCCUGCGCCCAAAAGGGCGUUUCGGUUCGGCCCCGGUGGCGCCUUGAAAUCUGCAGCUGGGGGGACGUUGGCCUUAACUGGUCGGCGACCGCACGCCGGCUGCUCGGUUACUGUGAGAAAAUUAGAGUGUUCAAGGCAGGCAUUGGGUGCAAUUGAAUACAUUAGCAUGGAAUAAUAAAAUAUGGCUCCUGCCGUAUUUUGUUGGUUUUGACUGGUGGGAGUAAUGAUUGAUAGGGACGGUUGGGGGUGCUAGUAUUGAGCGGCCAGAGGUGAAAUUCAUGGAUUCGCUCAAGACUAACUUAUGCGAAAGCAUUCACCAAGGACGUCCUCUUUAAUCAAGAACGAAAGUUGGGGGAUCGAAGACGAUCAGAUACCGUCGUAGUCUCAACCAUAAACUAUGUCGACUUGGGAUCGGCGGUAGUUUUUUCAUUAAGACACUGUCGGGACCACGGGAGAAAUCAAGGUGUCUGGACUCUGGGGGAAGUAUGGUCGCAAGGCUGAAACUUGAAGGAAUUGACGGAAGGGCACCACCAGGAGUGGAGCCUGCGGCUUAAUUUGACCCAACACGGGGAAACUUACCAGGUCCAGAGAUGUAGAGGAUUGACAGAUUGAAGCUCUUUCUUGAUCACUUCGGUGGUGGUGCAUGGCCGUUCUUAGUUGGUGGAGUGAUUUGUCUGGUUAAUUCCGUUAACGAACGAGACCUCAGCCUGCUAGUGUAGUCGGCUGGAUUGCCUUUGGCGAUCCGUGAUUUCGACUUCUUAGAGGGACAAUCGACGCGCAGUCGAUGGAAGUUUGAGGCAAUAACAGGUCUGUGAUGCCCUUAGAUGUUCUGGGCCGCACGCGCGCUACACUGCUGGGCUCAGCGAGUUUUACUUGGCCGAGAGGCCCGGUUAAUCUUGUGAAAUCCCAGCGUGCUUGGGCUCGCCUCCUGCAACUGGAGGCGCCAACGAGGAAUUCCUAGUAGACGCAGGUCAUCAACCUGCAUCGAUUACGUCCCUGCCCUUUGUACACACCGCCCGUCGUUCCAUAAGAGUGAGGCAUCCGGUGAAUUCUCGGGAGAGCCUGGGCGUGGCCAGCAAUGGUCUGCUCGGGUUUGAACUUGCAUAAACUUGGUGCCUAUGAUUAGGG
rnacentral:rRNA from 1 species